rnacentral:rRNA from 2 species
UACGAAGGGGGCUAGCGUUGUUCGGAAUUACUGGGCGUAAAGGGCGCGUAGGCGGCCUUGUCAGUCAGGCGUGAAAGCCCCGGGCUCAACCUGGGAACUGCGCUUGAUACUGCAAGGCUUGAGUUCCGGAGAGGAUGGUGGAAUUCCCAGUGUAGAGGUGAAAUUCGUAGAUAUUGGGAAGAACACCGGUGGCGAAGGCGGCCAUCUGGACGGACACUGACGCUGAGGCGCGAAAGCGUGGGGAGCAAACAGG